UUGUCGUUGCGGAUAGAAUUCAAACUGCAUAACUACCGAGUGAAGUCUGGGAGCAUAUUUUUUGGCACCUCAGUGCGCAGCAAUUGCUAUUGAUUCGCCUCACUUGCCAUCGAUUCCGAAACAUUGUAUCAAGUUGUCCUGUGCUGAGGGAUAAAUUAUGCCUGCGUUUUUCGAUAAACGAAAGAGAUCAAGAGUUUAAUCCACUGCCGGUGCCAGCCGCAACCAAUGUAAUGUUCAGCAGUUCGAAAUUGAGGAAUAUCAACUCGUGGUGGACGUCGAUUGGCGAAAUGGUAACGAGUCUCACAUUGAACGAGUGUUCUUUCCAGAUGGAUAUGCUAGCUUCCACACCAAAUCUCAAAAGGUUAGAUAUUUCAAAAGGAAGUGUCGAUGAACAAACUCUGGAUUUUCAGCUGAACGAAAUGGAGUAUCUUGUAUUAGCUGAAGCGAACUCUGCCAUCGGUGAAAGCAUAGUAAGAAUUACUCCUCAUUAAAUUGGGCUGGAUAUUUCGAAAUGUUUGAUCGACCUUGACCACAUCGAUACUUGGCUGCAGAUGAUUGAAGUCGUGCAAAGCACGUUGCAUGAAAUCAAGGUGGACGCAGAGCCAACCUUACUCGAAGGGCUUUCGGAAUUGCCACAACUGAAGCUGAAACGUGUUACCAUAACGGGGAAUUGGAAUUGUUGGACAGAUGAGUCAGCGCUACUUGAAUUUGCACGAUCACAGCCAACGAUUGAGAAGCUAGAUAUGAGACAUCUUUUUGUGAGAGAAAAAGCGCUGCAAUGUUUGGGCAGAUCCUUACCCAAACUGAAACAUUUCGCGUUUUUUAUGAAAUAUAGAAUGCCCUCAUUUUUGGAUACCAUGCCAAACUUGGAAUAUUUAGGCACACAAAAAGGUCGACUUGGACCUUGGAAACUUUAUUAAAUCAUGCCGUUAAAGCCAAUUAUCCAGAGCGUUAGUUAAUUGCAAUACAUUGCACGAAUUCGUUAGGCACUCUUAAAAUCUUCGUUCUAUCCAUUUAAAUAAAAAAAAAACAAGCUGCAGAAGCUGAUUUUGCACCCUAACAAUGAUGGCCUUGUUAUAACACUUCAGUGAUUACAAAAUGAGAUCUAAAUUGUCAGCACAUAAACGAUGAGAUUUUGUUAAAACUGGAAAAGUUCUGCUCAAUCAUAAACGUUUAGUGGCGCAUUGUGUUUCCAGUAAGAAAAUACAAGACCAUGCCACCAUUACAUGCUUCAUGGACAUGGACUCGUGCCAAAAACACCUCUUUUAUUAUGCUUCCAUUGAGAAAAUAUCCACCCGUAAUUUGUUUGGCCGUUUGAAAGGUGCGUGGCCUCAACUCACCUCCUCUUACCUCCAUUUUGAAGAUGAUGAUGAAAGCGAUUUGUUCUAGUGUUUGUUUAAUUUUCCUGCGUUUCAUUCGACACCAGAGAGCAAACGAUGAACGACGGCGCUGGGUGGCGCGAUUAGUGGAUGUGGGCCUUAAUUUUUACUACUAUUAGUGUACUACAAGUUGUUUUCUUGGAUGUAGAGUAGGGGGUGGGGAGAGCUCAAGGUGCCAAAGAAAAUUCUCUCAGCUAAUAAAUCAAGUCACGUUUUCGGGGCAAACAACUGUUUGCGAGCGUGGAGGUGGUGCGAAUUGCAUGAUUAAGACACAUUCAUUUUUAAACGAUAGUCCGUGCUUUUACUGAGCGUGCCUCAAUUCGACAAUUAAUUGGAAAAAGUAGAUAUUUUAAUUAGCGUGCCGUGUUUUGAAAAUUGAAUUUCGAAACAAGCUCUUCGAUUGACUGAGUGCCGACAUGACAAAUUCACAUCACUUUGAUGGAGUCGCACGAUGCCUCAACUUUUCGCCUCAGCAACAGCAGCAAUCGAAGUCGGCGUGGCGCCACGUUGUCUCCUCAAUUAACAAGUCCCAGUUGGGCGCCAAGAUAAGAAGCGUCACGUGAAAGGUCAAACGGCGAUGAGGACGACAACAAUAGUGGGGUUGCUAUCAAAAUUCUACAUUUUCAACGACGCUGCUAGUUGAAGGUUAAGGUCGGUAAUUUAUCCCCUUUGCUAACGAUGAAGUGGCACGACUUUACUCACUUAAUCGUCACUCUCUUCCACGUUUAAUCCAAGCUGAAAUGUGGUGCAAAAGUGCAACGAUUUCAUGACUAGAUAAGAUCCUUCUGUUAUUUAUUCGAAGCUGGUUGCAAUAGUUGAUUUCCCCUUUGACCUUGAAAUGUUUCUUCUUCUUUCCCCCUUUUUCUUAUCAAUUUGUAUUUACUGAUGAGUUUCGCUUUU